GUAGUUGAAGGAUUGUAGUUUAAAAUAGAACGAUUUAACAAGGAUAUUGGGUGAAAUGUUUAGUAAUUACAGUCAUUUUAUAGAAUCUCUUUAUUUACACAGGUACUACACUAUUAACUGAUAAGCAGUUUCAUGUCUAGGUGUGUUCAGUUUCCAAUUCAUUUCAAAUUAACAGAUAAGGUGAGUCUAAAGUUCUCACUGCUUCAUUUCACAUCCACUGGGGUUUUGUACAGAAGCAAAAAUGACAAAAAUGUCCAAAUACUUACAAACCUGAAUGAAUUCAAUUACGAGAUAGGAGCACGUAGCGCAUGGGUAAAUGCCAAAUUCACAUUCGCAUGUCCAUGGAUUGGAAACGUAUCUGAUUUAGGACCACAUAUGAAAGUGACUCAAAUCUGAUUGGAAAAAAAUCAAAUUUGACAUGUUCACACAGCCAUGAAAAAAUCAGAUCUGAGCCACAUUGAGCAAAAAAAAUCAGAUUUGAGUCACUUCAGCCUGGGAAUGUGAACAUAGCCAUAGUUGGCACUGAAAUCUGAAACUGAAGUCAACAGUUCUUACUAAAAACUAUUAACUACUACUAACUACUAUGCACCAUCCCUGUAGUAUACACUAUAUUUUUGAUUAGCAUUGUGUUGGUGUAUCACUGCCCAUAGCUGAAAUCUCUUGGCUUAACAAUGUCCCUCAUUCAGUCUAUGCACACUGUGGUCACUGGUCAUUUAAAAACACACACCUGUGUGGCUAAGCAAGGUGGGAGGUACAUUCCUUAGCUGAAUUCCCAUCCCCCACCUCCCCGCCUAACUCCUUCACACUGUGACUGUACCAGGACACCCAAGGGCGGGGUUACACAUACACUCAUACACACACACUCCCUGUCAGGCUGGAAUGGAACAUGAUUUUCUCCUCGCCUGCCACCUCUCCACUGCCUUAUCUGCUCAGGUGUGCCACAUUACGUUUCGGGAACUGAACAGGAGAGAAAACAGCUAUUGUAGAGAUCCCUGGAGACCGAGCACACCUAUACCUACAGCCGGGACCGAAGACACUUAGCCAGCAUUUCCCUCCACACAGCACACCAGGAACAGAUGUCAAGCCAACCUGCAACAUCAGGAGUAUCAACAUCAGUCUCGUGAGCGCCACUCCAGCUUCCAGCCUAAUUGCCAGAAGGUAGCACAGACAUGAAUCUCUCUUUGGACAAUCCGUAUGGCAAUGUCACCAUUCCCCGCGCCAAGCUGCGCCCAUAUGGCGACAACAGUACGGUCAUCCUUAACCCUAUGACCCUGGAGAGCGCCUACAAUGGUACCUCUUCCCAGAACCCUUACGGAAGUUUCAAGCCUCAAGGGGGGGAACAGAAUUCAUCUGGUGUGCCCGUCUACGGAGAGGCGAGAGAUGGCAACCAGCCUCCUCCGUAUAACAGCCAGGGCACCUACACCGUGAAGGAGGACGACGAGCAAGUGGGCCGCUGCUACACCUGCUGCAGCCGCUGCCGGAGGAAGAAGUGAGCGCCAGGCUGCUCCACGGAUAUACAAAUCUCAGAGUGGAAUUUGCUUUGCCUGCUAGAGCAGCUCCACAGCUGGUUCUGUUGGUUGAACAAUUGACAGCCGUGAAGACCUACCUUUUUAACACUGAGGCUUUUUGUAAAAGCCAAGCUUGAGGCUUUAUUAAAGAGACUGGACACCUCAUCACUGUGGAUAUCAAAGAGUCAAAGAGUCCAGCAUAGACUAAACUGAACAGACUGCUUCUUCUACGUUGCAUAAGAUACUUAUAAUUAUUGUAGAUAAAAGGAUUAGCUUUGCAAACAGUAUUCCCAUUUGAGGAAGCCAUAUUUGACCUGUGCCUUAAAGUUCUUAAAUGCUAUUGUUACCACCCUAUACAGGCAACUGGUACAGUUUACUGUGGUAUUGUGUAAGUGACGUCAAAGUACAGCAUACAGCAUAUGCACCUAGAAACUAUAUUUGCCUUGGUUUGUUUUGUGCCACCCAAGUUACCCUGCUUACCUGCUCCAACAGUUCCAACAGUAUUCCAACAACAUCCAAACACAUGACUUACCAUCUUUGACUUUUUUCUUUGUUUUGGUUUAAUGUGAGAUGGCAUUUGGUUGAGACCACCUGAGCAUCUGAGGGUCUUUGUACCACUAUGCAAAGGUGGGGUGUUAAGUUUCAUUUGGGCCACACCCCUCUAAACUGUCUUGUACAGAGCAAGCUUUGUAUAAGUCACAACAAAGGCACAUUUUUUCUGUUCUGAUACUUGUCCUCUGUGUUGACUAGCCACAAAGGAACUUAGAGAGCCAUUAUCUCACAGAAUCUCUUGGGAACGACCAACCUGAAAUGCCUUUCGAACAAUACUAGACAAAGGCCUGAAACAUACUCAGCACAAGAACUAUGAGAGAGUUGCUGCAAAGUGUGCAAAGUGCACCACAGUGACAGGCAAGCAGUCGAUUUCGAUGAUGCAAAUGAUGAAACUGUAGCCCUCAGGUACUCACAAUUCUCUGUUCAUGUACAAAUUAAAGAGUGAAAAAAAUAGCACCACAAAAAUUGAGUGAAACUGCGGAAAAGAAAGCUUCUGAACGAUUACGAUUUAUUUUCACACAGGAAUUAAUUAAAAAGCAACCAAAAUUAGUUUUACAAUUGCAAGAGGUGGGGCAUGUCUGUUGACUUCACUACAAUGUCACAUUAGACAAUUCCAUCUGUGCAACCAGCCGGCUACCAAGAAGGGGUUAAGUAGGACAGUCAUACUGAGGACGCACCUGCUACCUCGACUCGCAGCUUAGACUUUGGAAUACAACUAGUGUUUUAAAUGCCACAAUAAUGUAACAUUACAUAAUGUAAGUAUUGCAUGAGGAGAACAUGGAAUAGGUGGGUUUCAGGUGGGCCUCAUGUUUAACUAUAGCCUUAUACAACCAGAAUGCAUUCCAUGUUUAACCCCUCCUGCUACCAUCACUGAUCUUAACUGGGCUCAUCAUUGGCAAUCCAGCAUGGAACUCAUGGACAAACUAGUCUAGUUUGCAGUGGGGCCACCCAUACAGGCCCUGAUUAUGCAUGAUAUCUUGUAAUUAUUAAUUACAAGAUAAUCAGUUUGCAAAUACUUGUGCUGAGAAUGUUUCUGGCCUACAGGUUAUACACACGGGAUACACAGGCACGAUUUCAAUCAAUAUGAACAAACACAGACAAUUCUCUCCCAUAUAGAGACAAUUUUUUGUAGAGUGGUGCUCGUCAAUCCUCCUACUGGAGAACUACCAACCAGCAGAUUUCACCAGCAACCCAAAUCCCAUUUUACGAGUUUAAGAACUUCUGAAGGCAGGUAGGAUGGAUUAGGGUUGGAUCCAAAGUCUGCAUGAAGAUAUAUUUCUCCAGGAACAGGGUUGGAGACCACUGCUGGUGGUUAGCUAAUUUUAGACAAACAAUGUCCUUUGAAAUGUUGUAAAAUAUUGGGAAUAAAAGCUAAAAACUACAAAAAAAAAGAAUCUUGCAAAAGACUAUGUAUUUAUUAAAUGUCCUGAAGUAAGAUCAUUGUUUCUCAUUCACACUCUGACUGUGUCUACUGUUUGGUAUCAGAUACUUAAAAUGUGGGCCUGUGGUGAUGUCAGAUAAAGAUUUCUAUCUGAGCACAUCUCUUCUGGAAAUGCAUGAAUUCAUGCAUUUCCACUUAAUUAAUUUUGCAAUCUGUUCCUCUAUCCUACCUAUUCAUUCUUGCUUGUCAGUCUAUUUAUUGUUAUUUAAUUUUAAGAUGGUGACGCCCAGAGAACUACCCGAAUGUACUGUGUGUAAAAAUACUGUGUGUUUGCAAGUUUUACCAGCAAACCAAAUCUUGCAUACUCAUUUCACCAAUUCAAGAACUUCUGAAGGCAGGUAGGGUGGAUUAGGGUUGGAACAGGGUUGGACACCACUGCUGGUGGUUAGCUAAUUUUAGACAAACAAUGUCCUUUGAAAUGUUGUAAAAUAUUGGGAAUAAAAGCUAAAACUAAAAAAGAA